UACGUAGGUGGCAAGCGUUGUCCGGAAUUAUUGGGCGUAAAGCGCGCGCAGGCGGUCCUUUAAGUCUGAUGUGAAAGCCCACGGCUCAACCGUGGAGGGUCAUUGGAAACUGGGGGACUUGAGUGCAGGAGAGAAGAGUGGAAUUCCACGUGUAGCGGUGAAAUGCGUAGAGAUGUGGAGGAACACCCGUGGCGAAAGCGGCGC
rnacentral:rRNA from 1 species